CGCCGUCGCAAAGAGGGUGGAAUUCCGGGUGCAGAGAAAAUCCUUCCCCAAAUCAAAGGGGGGUGCAGAAGAAACGUGUUGGAAUUAUUUCCACUAGAGCACCUGCCCGAAGUAUGAAAACUUGCGGGCAUAUUACGCAUGACAUUGUAUGGAUGUGAUUUAUCAAGGAUGUGGUAUCGUUUGCAUGUCAUCCCAACAAUGCUUUUGCAAACUUGGAGUUUGUCCGUAAAAUGUGGAGGGAAAAGUUUCGAAAAUGCCUUUUGUGGAGGCAAAUUAUUACCAUGCCAAAGGACAUAAACAGAGCUAAUGUCUGGCGUUACAGUAUUACAACGCGCUAAGCAAAAAAAAAUACUUUGCUGAAUCCUAAACCAGGAACCGUGUGCGAUGAAGGAAUUACUCGCCGGGAUAUGUACGAUUCCUAUCUUGUGCCGCAAAAUGUGCGUGAGGGGAGCGUAUCACCGGUUCGUUUCAUUGUGUGCUGCCAGCCGCCGGAACCGAGGUUGACCGUGGAUGACAUCCAAGGCUUAAACUGACCGACAUGUACUACCACUAGACACCGGAACUAUUCGUGUGCCGGCAUCUUGCAUGUAUGCCCGAAAAUUGGCGUACCAGAGUGGAGCAUGCUAUGAACGCAGCAACCGGACACAGCGCUGCUGGAAACAUUAUUUUAUCUGUAAACAGCUGAAAUAAGAUCCCGCAUGGUAGAAACGGUGUGAUUGUAUUUUACGGAUGUGAGUUCGCCAUGCUGGAUGAUUUGCGGGUAAAUUCUGCGUCGAUGAAGUACUUCGUAUGUCAAUUCGCCUCUGCUGAUUCAUUUUACUUUUUUCCUCAAAAAUCGUUUCACACGAAAGUUUGUUGUCGAGAAUAAUACGCGUACGGUAAAAAUCUGCAGUGGAACACGACUAAUGCGCGGAAGCCUUUGUUUUAUGCCGGCCAAAAUUUGCAGACAAAUGAUUUGCGAGCGGCAUGGAAGAUCUAAGUUACCGCAUGUGGGCUGUCUGUUCUUGUUCCCACCUGCAUGCCGCUGUAAGCUGCUGAGGCGCCAAUGGUUAUUUAUUCGCAGCUUGCUCGUAGCUGGUCAGUUAUUGCCACGCCUUACGCAUGGGCUGCUGUAAGAACUGUUAAAAUCAUUUUAAGCGGCAGAUUCAGAUUAAUUCACAUCAUUCGGUUUCUUUUAAAGUGGAGCGUAGAAACAUCGAAUUUUAUCUAAUUUUCGUUGACAAAACAUUUUUUCGUUUUGCGUUUCGUGUGUGUGACUAAAAUGGUUGAUUUUAGCUAUAAAUGUGGGGUAAGAGAUUGCCCAUGUGUGAUCCCAUUAAAGGCUGACAUCGAUUUUUCCUGGAGCGGACCGUUGGGCGGGCUUAAAUGCAGUGUUUUUGGAUGUAAUCACGAGUACGGUCUGCAUAUUCGCUGUAGUUUAUUGGCAGCUGUUAAUCCCGAAUUGAAUUCAAACAUGGGAAACUCCGCUAGCCAU